rnacentral:rRNA from 1 species
GAUGAACGCUGGCGGCGUGCUUAACACAUGCAAGUCGAACGAAGCACUUUAUUUGAUUUCCUUCGGGACUGAUUAUUUUGUGACUGAGUGGCGGACGGGUGAGUAACGCGUGGGUAACCUGCCUUGUACAGGGGGAUAACAGUUGGAAACGGCUGCUAAUACCGCAUAAGCGCACAGCAUCGCAUGAUGCAGUGUGAAAAACUCCGGUGGUAUAAGAUGGACCCGCGUUGGAUUAGCUAGUUGGUGAGGUAACGGCCCACCAAGGCGACGAUCCAUAGCCGACCUGAGAGUGUGCCCGGCCCCAUUGGGACUGAGACACGGCCCAAACUCCUACGGGAGGCAGCAGUGGGGAAUAUUGCACAAUGGGCGAAAGCCUGAUGCAGCGACGCCGCGUGAGCGAAGAAGUAUUUCGGUAUGUAAAGCUCUAUCAGCAGGGAAGAUAAUGACGGUACCUGACUAAGAAGCACCGGCUAAAUACGU